rnacentral:rRNA from 1 species
AACGAACGCUGGCGGCAUGCCUAACACAUGCAAGUCGAACGAGACCUUCGGGUAUAGUGGCGCACGGGUGCGUAACGCGUGGGAACCUGCCCUUAGGUUCGGAAUAACUCCCCGAAAGGGGUGCUAAUACCGGAUAAUGUCUUCGGACCAAAGAUUUAUCGCCUUUGGAUGGGCCCGCGUUGGAUUAGCUAGUUGGUAGGGUAAAAGCCUACCAAGGCGACGAUCCAUAGCUGGUCUGAGAGGAUGAUCAGCCACACUGGGACUGAGACACGGCCCAGACUCCUACGGGAAGCAGCAGUGGGGAAUAUUGGACAAUAGGCGAAAGCCUGAUCCAGCAAUGCCGCGUGAGUGAUGAAGGCCUUAGGGUUGUAAAGCUCUUUUACCCGGGAUGAUAAUGACAGUACCGGGAGAAUAAGCUCCGGCUAACUCCGUG